CAUCUACAGUUGUGUUCAGAAAUUUACACACCCCUUGCACAUCGUAAUAAAAAUAAUAACAAAAUAAUAACAAAUUUACACUUCUAGACCGUUUAUAAUAAUGAAAUAUAUAAAAACCUAUUACUGAAAUGCACAAGCAGGUACAAUAGCAAAAACUAUGGUAAUGAUAAUUUAGCAAGAGUUAGUCUAUUUACACUAAAUAUUACAUAACAAAACCCAAGUUAAAGAUUUAACACCUUUGACUGAGAAUAGUGAUAUGAAGUUCAAGCGAGAUACGAUACGAUGCGAUGCAGCGAUUUGAGUAGAUUAAUAAGCUAAUUAAGAAUAAUAAGCUGAUUAACUUCAGCUGACUACAUACAGUAUGUCUCUAUGGAAACAUGGUUUCAUUUAAAUGCUUUUAUACCACUGCACUGUUGAAUUCUUGAACCUGAUUGGACAGAAGGUGUUGAUUUCAUUUUCUACAACAGCAGCUCUGACUGUAGAUGCGGGUGUAAUUGCAGUGACAGGUUUCUAUUAAUAUACUCAUUCUAAUAUAUUACUCUUUCUACUUCUGUAGUAACGACUUAUUCACAGGGACUUGUAUGAAGGACACACCACAUAACCUAAGUCUAUUAAAGAACGUAUAAAUAAAAUGUGUUAUUAUUUAACAAAGACAUAUAUUUGUUGAUAUGGUGAGGGUUUUCUGUAGGGAUAUGUUUAAUGUUUAUUUAAGGAGUCUCAGGUGUCAGCGCUUUGAAACAGUCAGUGGGUUUUCCUCCAUGACGGAGUCUUCAGGACAACGUACAGUUUUCUGGUAACAUGACAAGCUGCUGUUUUUGUUUUAUUAACUUCACGAGAGCGAAAAAGAGAGGCUGGUGACGAAGUGACUGUUUAUAGUCGCUGUAACGUAAGUCAUAACAGAAACUUGUUUUACGGUUAGUCCACAAUGUUAAAUGUAGAUAUAAACGUAAAAGUACGAUACGUCAUUCUUCAAUACAUUAAACAUUGUACUCGUUGGCUACAAAAAUUGCUGUAGUACAAGAGGAAUAAAAUACUUUACACAUUCUGUUAUAGGAAAAUAAUCAGCUUUGUGGUAAAAGUAAGUCCGAUUUGCACUGCAAAGUUACACAUUACACAACUACAUCAUUGAUUAUUUUUCCAUAACAAGUGUUUUAUUCCAUAUUCAUCAUUCAUUUAUCCCCAGUAAGUUUAUUCUGGUCAGUGGAUAUGGAGCCUAUUCCAGCAAUACUUGACGUAAAGCAGGAAUACACACCAGGACACACUUCUUUUAAUCGGCUCAAAUAAUCUCAUGAUUAGGUUGUUAUGUAUUAUGUGAAAGGCCUAACACCUGCAUGGAAAAGACAGGCUUUUAAUCUGUGACUCCACUUUCCCGGUUCACACUGUUAGUCUUCAAGAAUAUCCUCCACUGUGUAUUGUAUGUUGCUUCAUGUUUUUCUCAUCACCUUAUAUUCCACAAAAUUUGAUUUCAUUCAUUCAAUCACGAGGAUCUUAGUUAGAUCGCGGCAUUUACAUUCAGCACACAAAAAACCCACGUUAUUUUGAUGACUGAACUGUUAUCAUUUCAUAUUUCUAUUUCUGUUUAAGAAGUUUAUUUAGAAAUAUGUUAGAGACGAAUUAUACAUAUAAUGUUCUAUUUGUUGAACCCUUCUGACUGACAUUUCUAAAAAAUAAUAAUAAUAAUAAAAAACCGUCAUUCAAAGUUCUUACAAUUUUAGUGGAAGGCAGUGUUUUAUUUUAUUUGAAUGUUAUCAGCACUUGAUACUCCCAAAAACAAUAUUUAAAAAAAAAAAAAAAAAAAAAAAAAGAUUUAGUAUUUCACUUGUCAGUGUGGGCUCUAGUAUGCAAUGUCUAUGUAUUUAGUUUGUAUGAUAAUUUGCACAAUGUCAUUUAGAAAGUGCGCCCCCUUUCCCCUGCAUUAUUAGCCUACAUGUAUUUUUAAGGGAUGUGUCCACCUUUUCGCUGUAGCAUAUUUUAUGUAUUAAACGAUACGUCACUGUAACAAAUAAAGGAAAAUGCUUUGUAUUUCAGUGUUUUUUUUAUUUUAUUUUAUUUUAUUUUUUUAUUUUUUAAAAUCUCCCUUUCUGUCCUGGCUACACUACAUGAAUAUGUAGACGUUCACUCAUUCACUCACUUUCAGUAAGAGCUUUAUCCUGAACAGGGUCAAAGUGGAUCUGGAG
ensembl:lncRNA